rnacentral:misc_RNA from 1 species
GGUUGGACCUCUUGUUGACAACAUUAUUUCUGUUUGAGUAAAAUCUGCUCGUAAUUUAGAGGCAAAAAAAAAAAAUUCUUAUUUCAGCAAGUACUUCAUCAUAAACCAUGUACGAAUUGACCAUUUCCCUUCUCGCUUUUAUAUUGUAGCCGUUCCCACCAAGUUGAAGCACUACCUUUCAACUGACAAGCUACCAAUUGGAUUCGUUUUUCAGGUGCUAUGUUGAUAUAGUUGAAGAAUCUUUCCACUUUCCUGAUCCAAUCUAAGAAUUCUUCUAUGACGAGAUUCCCAUAAAAAUUAGGAAAAUCAAUUUUCAAUUGAUAAUAUGUGACUCUUUUCCUAUCACCAUCAUAGUUUUGAUGUCUAUUGAACUGGAUUGGUUCAUAGUCAUCCUCCUCCAAAUCUUCAUUGUUGACAUAUUACCUGCAUGCAGAAAGAGGUCUGUUGAUAGGGUCACCAAAAGCUAACUUUACCCUUGCCUUCUAUCAUCAUCCUAUCCUUGUUUGUACUACUUCUCAAAGCAUCAAGACGAUCUAUAAUUUCUUUGAAGGAUCUCUCGAUACACUUGAAUAUGAGAUCCAUCUGUUCCUCUAGACGUCGCUCCCAUCGUUGCAACAUGUUGUCCCUAUAGUCAAGGAUUUUAGUUCCCUGAUUACCAUUGGAGAACCACUAUUGUCACUAUCUCCAUCAAGGUUAGCGAUUGGGGUGAUUUUGCCUGCUCUGAUACCACCUAACGCAGUGUGAAACUCAAAGAAAACGCAAUCACACAGUGAAAAUUGAGAGAAAAUUCUUUGCAGGAUUUUUAUUGCUGAAAAUCUCUAACUGAAAUACAUGUAAAUAAGGGAUAUUUAUAGAGUUUUUAGAACCCUAAACCUAAUAGGAAUAAUUAGAAAGUUUUGCUAAACCUAAAUUCAAGAGGAAGAUAUAAAUAAAAUAGGAAUUAACCUUAUCCUAGAUAGAAUGUGAAAACAUAAAUAAAUACUCCUACUGAUAAUAGGAAGAACUUUAAACUAAUUCCACAGCUGUCCCUUGAUAAAAUAGGAAGUCCAAAGUGAAUUAGGGCUGAUGGUGAUAAAUUUGGACCAAAAUGGACUCCUUCAUGUUGCUGGACAGUGGCUCACAUACCCUGAGCAUGUGAAUGGGCCCUGGUACAUGCUGAGGGAAUGUACUUCGCUGGUUUGAAGAAACAUGCCCUGCAUAACAUUUAUGUUGUUGCAGACUUUUGUUUUUAUUUUGAUGACUCAAUACUAUGUUGAGUUCACAGCAGAAGGAAGCUUGAGGAGAGUUAUUUUGUUAUUACUAUGCAAAUCUAAUUAAAUCAUCUAUAGGUGGCUAUAUUUCUCAUCCAGAG